rfam:Salmo salar isolate Sally breed double haploid chromosome ssa12, whole genome shotgun sequence.
CUCCCUGUGGCUCAGUUGGUAGAGCAUGGUGUGUGCAACGCCAGGGUUGUGGGUUCGAUUCCCAUGGGGGGC